rnacentral:rRNA from 1 species
GAUGAACGCUGACAGAAUGCUUAACACAUGCAAGUCAACUGUGGCGGACGGGUGAGUAACGCGUAAAGAACUUGCCUCACAGCUAGGGACAAAAUUUGGAAACGAAUGCUAAUACCUGAUACUGUGAGAGAGGUUUGCGUCCCUUUAGCUAGUUGGAGAGGUAACGGCUCACCAAGGCGAUGAUGGGUAGCCGGCCUGAGAGGGUGAUCGGCCACAAGGGGACUGAGACACGGCCAUUACUCCUACUGGCGGCAGCAGUGUGGAAUAUUGGACAAUGGACCAAAGUCUGAUCCAGCAAUUCGGUGUGCAAGAUGAAGUUUUCGGAAUGAAAAGGGCUUUCAGUUUGGAAGCGGUACCAACAGAAGAAGUGACGGCUAACUACGUGCCAGCAGCCGCGGUAAUUC